GACGAACGCUGGCGGCGUGCUUAACACAUGCAAGUCGAGCGGUAAGGCCCUUUCGGGGGUACACGAGCGGCGAACGGGUGAGUAACACGUGGGUGACCUGCCCUUAGCUCUGGGAUAAGCCUGGGAAACUGGGUCUAAUACCGGAUAUGACUCCAUGACGCAUGUUGUGGGGUGGAAAGCCUUGUGCGGCUAGGGAUGGGCCCGCGGCCUAUCAGCUUGUUGGUGGGGUGAUGGCCACCAAGGCGACGACGGGUAGCCGGCCUGAGAGGGCGACCGGCCACACUGGGACUGAGACACGGCCCAGACUCCUACGGGAGGCAGCAGUGGGGAAUCUUGCGCAAUGGGCGAAAGCCUGACGCAGCGACGCCGCGUGGGGAUGACGGCCUCGGUUGUAACGU
rnacentral:rRNA from 1 species